rnacentral:sRNA from 2 species
UUGUUGCUGUUGGCCGUUUGUCUCUGCGUCGACAUUCAUGUCGUCAUCUAGGCUGGAUGCCUUCCCCUUCCCCUUCCCCUUGAUGUCGCCAAUGCUCCUCGUCAGGUCAUCGGGAUCCUCGUGUCUGCCCUUCACGUUAUUAUUCUGGGUCUGGCUCUCCAGACUAUUCUUCAGGGCCAUCUCCAGCAUUUCCUCCUCAGUCAUUGUUUCGAGCUUGCGCUCCGGUUUUACCUCCGGCUUCCGCCUGGCGACGGGAUUCCGCACAGUGUGGUCUAAGCUGUAGCGAUCGAGGAACUCGUGGACUUGCAUCAGGAAAUCCGAUGGUUUAAUAACGGGGGGUCCAGUCCAUGCUUUCACUUGCUCGCCCGUCCGUGGGUCCACGAUUGCAAUAUGUGGGUAGUUGUCUUGAACGUCGACACCGGGAAAGUAAUAUUGGAUAUAUUGCGAACCGCGCGGGUCGUCCUUGGAGUAUUGUAGAAAGAUGAAAUGUUCUUUUACCGUGUCCAUGACUCCUUGGUUUUUCCAAAGAUCUCUAUUUAGGACUUGGCAAUCGAAAACAGAGGCGUCCUGAAUGUUGACCAGCAGCCACCUCAUAUUUUCCCGGCCUUCGUCCCGCGCCAGGUCCCAGGGCAGUUUCGACAUGAUCUCAAAGGGAGGUCGGUACAUUUCAGCAAGCAUACUGGACUUGCUAGAGGCGUUUGAGGCGCCACCGGUAGCCUCUGCCAAGGAUGCGCGAUGUGAUGACGGAUCGUCCUGGUUCCAGAUCGAUGAUGAAAUGGGCCUUUGGUUGAAGAUACCGGGUCGGCCUAGGUUAAGCUAGAUAUCAGCCGACGAACAACAUAUAACUUUACGCACAAAGGGAAAAAUUGGGCCAUCAUUGAUAUCAAACCCCAAAUCCACACCAGGCUCGACAAGUGU